AGUAAAUCUCAAACUGACUUCAUUAUGAACAAGACUCACAACUUGGCAUUUAUCUGCUUGUUACUCAGGUAAAUGCACCUUUAAUACAUGAUCCUGUUUACAGGAUCUGUAACACUCCUUCUGGGUUCUGCUCGCAGAAUGAAAAGGUGGAAAAGCACCCACAAAGCAGCCAUUGCAUAAACAGCCCAUUUCGCCCUUCAGAGCUCUCCUGCCGCUUUGAUGGAAAGUGCGAUGGAUGCACAAAGCCUGCAGAAAGAAAUAAUAAGUUCUUGGCUUGCUGAGAAGGAGACUCUAACCUCAGAGUCCCAGGAGAGGUUUUUGAGUCAACUCCAUUAUCCUUGUAAGGCUCUAACAGUAGCAAGGGGUGUUGAUCCUUUCAUUCUGCAGCUUUAAUGUGGUUACUAUCAAGAGCUCUGCAAAUACUUGACACAAAACUGACCUUUUGGCUUGGAAAAGCCUGGAGGUUCUGGACUUUCUUGAUUGUGGAAGAAAUGUAAAAGAAAAGUCAGCAUUGGUUUGAUAGAUUGGUCUGUCACUCCAGCCUUUUAAAGAUCACCUUGGAGAAACAGUCAAAUUAACUGGUCUGGAAGAAACAAGUGCUAAAACUGUAAGGAGAAGACUUUUACAUAAACUUUUUUUUUAAAAGAUCUUUAUGACAUAAAACCUGCAGGUGAUCUGAAGUAGCAGGAAACAAUUGGAAGAGAAGGCUAUUGUAAAGUGAGAGUUUCUGAACCUGCCCAGCAUGAAUUCCUUUCCUGCAGCCUCAUGUGGGAUCUGUCUCUCCUUCAAUCUUACUCCUUGCUGUUUCAGAAGAUUCUGUUCCAGAGACAGCAUGAAAGGAGAAGAAGCAUCCCUCCGAGUCCGUGCAGGCACAAAAACCUCACCUGGGCAUAGAACAUGUGAAAAUUGAGAAAUACAGGACCGUAACAACGUGAUGA